rnacentral:rRNA from 1 species
AUUGAACGCUGGCGGCAUGCCUUACACAUGCAAGUCGAACGGCAGCGCGGGAGCAAUCCUGGCGGCGAGUGGCGAACGGGUGAGUAAUAUAUCGGAACGUGCCCAGUAGUGGGGGAUAGCCCGGCGAAAGCCGGAUUAAUACCGCAUACGACCUACGGGUGAGAGGGGGGGAUCGCAAGACCUCUCGCUAUUGGAGCGGCCGAUAUCAGAUUAGGUAGUUGGUGGGGUAAAGGCCUACCAAGCCUGCGAUCUGUAGUUGGUCUGAGAGGACGACCAGCCACACUGGGACUGAGACACGGCCCAGACUCCUACGGGAGUCAGCAGUGGGGAAUUUUGGACAAUGGGCGCAAGCCUGAUCCAGCAAUGCCGCGUGCAGGAAGAAGGCCUUCGGGUUGUAAACUGCUUUUGUCAGGGAAGAAAUCCUCUGGGUUAAUACCUCGGGGGGAUGACGGUACCUGAAGAAUAAGCACCGGCUAACUACGUGCCAGCCGCCGCCGUAAAAC